CCUACGGGUGGCUGCAGUGAGGAAUAUUGGUCAAUGGGCGGGAGCCUGAACCAGCCACGUCGCGUGAGGGAAGACGGUCCUAUGGAUUGUAAACCUCUUUAGGCGGGGAGCAAUGCCGGGCACGCGUGCCCGGAGGGAGAGUACCCGCAGUAUAAGCAUCGGCUAACUCGGUGCCAGCAGCCGCGGUAAUACGGUGGAGGCGAGCGUUAUCCGGCUUUAGUGGGUUUAAGGGUGCGUAGGCGGAGUUUUAAGUCAGCGGUAAAAUGUCCGGGCUCAACCCGGGCCGGCCGUUGAAACUGGGGAUCUUGAGUGGGGGAGAGGGAUGCGGAAUGCGUGGUGUAGCGGUGAAAUGCAUAGAUAUCACGCAGAACUCCGAUUGCGAAGGCAGCAUACCGGCGCCCGACUGACGCUGAGGCACGAAAGCGUGGGGAUCGAACAGGAUUAGAUACCCGAGUAGUC
rnacentral:rRNA from 1 species